rnacentral:rRNA from 1 species
UACAGAGGUCUCAAGCGUUGUUCGGAUUCAUUGGGCGUAAAGGGUGUGUAGGUGGCGCGCUAAGUCGGGUGUGAAAUUUCGGAGCUUAACUCCGAAACUGCAUUCGAUACUGGCGUGCUUGAGGACUGGAGAGGAGACUGGAAUUCAUGGUGUAGCAGUGAAAUGCGUAGAUAUCAAGUGGAACACCAGUGGCGAAGGCGAGUCUCUGGACAUUUCCUGACGCUGAGGCACGAAAGCCAGGGGAGCAAACGGG